rnacentral:rRNA from 1 species
AUUGAACGCUGGCGGCGUGCUUAACACAUGCAAGUCGAUCGGUAACGCGGGGGCAACCCUGGCGACGAGAGGCGGACGGGUGAAGAACGCUUGGGAAUCUGCCUAUCAGCGGGGGACAACCCGGGGAAACUCGGGCUAAUACCGCAUACGCUCUACGGAGGAAAGCCGGGGACCGCAAGGCCUGGCACUGAUAGAUGAGCCCAAGUCGGAUUAGCUAGUUGGCGGGGUAACGGCCCACCAAGGCGACGAUCCGUAGCUGGUCUGAGAGGACGAUCAGCCACACUGGGACUGAGACACGGCCCAGAAUCCUACGGGAGGCAGCAGUGGGGAAUAUUGGACAAUGGGGGAAACCCUGAUCCAGCGACGCCGCGUGGGUGAAGAAGGCCUGCGGGUUGUAAAGCCCUUUCGGUAGGGACGAAAGCUCUCGACCUAACACGUCGGGAGGUUGACUUAACCUACAAAAGAAGCACCGGCUAACUCUGUGCCAGCCGCCGCAGUAACAC